GUCUACAGCCAUAACCACCCUGAACACACCGAGCUCAUCUGAUCUCUGAAGCUAAACAGGGUCAGGCCUGGUUAGUACUUGGAUGGAAGAAGGUGACACCUGUAAGAGAGGCAGUAUGAGAGCAGGGGACC
ensembl:rRNA 5S_rRNA 5S ribosomal RNA